ensembl:lncRNA
CCCUCAGGCCCUGUCACUGUCACACACAGCAGAGCUCAGCGCUGCCCCUCCACUCCCUGUGAGGAGCUGCACCCGCCAUGAGCCCUCCCCUCAUCUCCUCUGCUCUGGACUAAACCAACCAAGAGACCUCAGCCACUCUGCAAUACCCCUUGCCCUCCAGACCCUUCUCCAUCUUUGUAGCACUCAGUUUUAUAUCCUUUUUGUACUGUGGAGCCCAAAAUGGCACCCAGCGUGGAGCUCAAAAUCACUUAUACCAAUCAACCAGCAGUGCCAUUCUUGAUGCACCCCAGGAUACUGUUGGCCUUCUUGGUUGCCUGGGCACACUGUUACUCAUGUUUAACUUGGUGUUGAACAGGACUCCCAGAUACCUUUCAGCAAGGAGCUAUUCUCAAGCAUCUCAUCCGCCAGUCUUUCACAGGUGGUUUUAGAAACCAGAGUGGCUGUGACUGAAGGGAUAUCCUUUGCAGUAGUUAGACUGCAAGAGGAAGAAAGAAGGAAAGGAAGCACUGGAUAGGAAAGAGACAAGAGAAGAUGGAGCUCGUGAAAAUGGACUGAAAACAGCUAAAUGGAAAGAAAGAGAAGAUCUUUAAGAAGGGAAACUUUACAUGUAUGGAGUUAUGCUGGUUACAUAGGGUAGACCAGCAAGGGGGAAAGAAGCAAAAUUAAUGGGUAAAGCAAGUGGAAGAAAUAAGGAAAAAGUGGGAAGAUGGAAUAAAAGAGUUUAUAAAGAUAGUUGGAAUUUUUAAUCUAUUAGAUGAGCUGUUAAAUGUCAUUUAUUCUUAACUCCCACAUUUGAAUCUACACUUUUAAAGUAAAGCUAAAGGAGUUGAUAUUAAUUUUUUGGAUGUGAUUCAGUUGGAUUUGACUGCUGUAUAUCUGUCAAAAUACUCCAAUAUAUAUCUUCUGCUGUUGUACAGACGCUUUAUAAGGUCUACACCCUGCAGGAGAGUAGCAAGUGGUCAUUGGGAAAAGAAGCUAUUCAGAAGUCAAAGUGUUCACAAAAUGGAAACAUUUUAGAGUUUGCUGUCAAAGAAGAUGAUGCUUUCAAAAUGGAGAUAGAAACAGUGUGUUUCAACGUGCUUAUAAUUUAGAGAUGAUAAUGCAUGAAGCAUAUGUAAAAUGUAAUUAAAAUUAUUUUUGCUAGCAGGCUGAUGAUAAGUCAUCUCC